rnacentral:misc_RNA from 1 species
AAGUCGUAACAAGGUAACCGUAGGUGAACCUGCGGUUGGAUCAUUAGUGGUUUUUUGGCAGCGCUGUUGUAGUGUAUGGUGGUAUGUUGGGUUUUGGUGUGGUGUGUGUUGUUGGUUGUGCUGUGUCUGUUGUUGACUUGGUCUUGGCACAGCAACGGACGACGAACACUCGGACCAGACCCAACAGACCUCGCCAGAUAGACGUCUUUGCUUGCUUUGAUGAAACCAAAUCAAAAACAACUUUUGACAACGGAUCUCUUGGCUCUC